CUACGGGAUGCUCCAGUGAGGAAUAUUGCACAAUGGGGGGAACCCUGAUGCAGCAACGCCGCGUGGAGGAUGACGCAUUUCGGUGUGUAAACUCCUUUUAUAUGUCAAGAAAAUGACGGUAGCAUAUGAAUAAGCACCGGCUAACUCCGUGCCAGCAGCCGCGGUAAUACGGAGGGUGCAAGCGUUACUCGGAAUCACUGGGCGUAAAGGACGCGUAGGCGGGCUUGUAGGUCAGGUGUGAAAUCCUACAGCUUAACUGUAGAACUGCACUUGAAACUACGAGCCUAGAGUAUGGGAGGGGGAGAUGGAAUUAGUGGUGUAGGGGUAAAAUCCGUAGAUAUCACUAGGAAUACCUAAAGCGAAGGCGAUCUCCUGGAACAUAACUGACGCUAAGGCGUGAAAGCGUGGGGAGCAAACAGGAUUAGAUACCCUCGUAGUC
rnacentral:rRNA from 1 species